AUUGAACGCUGGCGGCAGGCCUAACACAUGCAAGUCGAACGGUAGCACAGAGAGCUUGCUCUUGGGUGACGAGUGGCGGACGGGUGAGUAAUGUCUGGGAAACUGCCUGAUGGAGGGGGAUAACUACUGGAAACGGUAGCUAAUACCGCAUAACGUCGCAAGACCAAAGAGGGGGGACCUUCGGGCCUCUUGCCAUCAGAUGUGCCAGAUGGGAUUAGCUAGUAGGUGGGGUAACGGCUCACCUAGGCGACGAUCCCUAGCUGGUCUGAGAGGAUGACCAGCCACACUGGAACUGAGACACGGUCCAGACUCCUACGGGAGGCAGCAGUGGGGAAUAUUGCACAAUGGGCGCAAGCCUGAUGCAGCCAUGCCGCGUGUAUGAAGAAGGCCUU
rnacentral:rRNA from 1 species